rnacentral:tRNA from 1 species
GGGAUAAUAGUUAAUAAUAACAUUUAAUUUGCAAUUAGAAAGAAUUGAUUUUAUCAAUUUAUCUCA